rnacentral:rRNA from 1 species
UACGCAGGGUCCGAGCGUUGUCCGGAAUUACUGGGCGUAAAGGGCUCGUAGGUGGCCAACUAAGUCAGACGUGAAAUCCCUCGGCUUAACCGGGGAACUGCGUCUGAUACUGGAUGGCUUGAGUUUGGGAGAGGGACGCGGAAUUCCAGGUGUAGCGGUGAAAUGCGUAGAUAUCUGGAGGAACACCGGUGGCGAAGGCGGCGUCCUGGACCAACACUGACACUGAGGAGCGAAAGCCAGGGGAGCAAACGGG